AUCGCCAGAUGCAUAAGGCUGGGUAGCCACGUCCGGAAGGGAUAAACGCUGAAGGCAUCUAAGCGUGAAGCCCCCCUCAAGAUGAGAUAUCCCUGCGUAUGCAGUAAGACCCCUUGGAGAGUACGAGGUUAGAUAGGCACAAGGUGUAAGCAUGGUAACAUGUUCAGCUGAUGUGUACUAAUAGGUCGAGGGCUUAUCCA
rnacentral:rRNA from 1 species